rnacentral:rRNA from 1 species
GACGAACGCUGGCGGCGUGCUUAACACAUGCAAGUCGAACGGAAAGGCCCUGCUUUUGUGGGGUGCUCGAGUGGCGAACGGGUGAGUUACACGUGAGUAACCUGCCCUUGACUUUGGGAUAACUUCAGGAAACUGGGGCUAAUACCGGAUAGGAGCUCCUGCUGCAUGGUGGGGGUUGGAAAGUUUCGGCGGUUGGGGAUGGACUCGCGGCUUAUCAGCUUGUUGGUGGGGUAAUGGCUUACCAAGGCUUUGACGGGUAGCCGGCCUGAGAGGGUGACCGGCCACAUUGGGACUGAGAUACGGCCCAGACUCCUACGGGAGGCAGCAGUGGGGAAUAUUGCACAAUGGGCGGAAGCCUGAUGCAGCAACGCCGCGUGCGGGAUGACGGCCUUCGGGUUGUAAACCGCUUUCGCCUGUGACGAAGCGUGAGUGACGGUAAUGGGUAAAGAAGCACCGGCUAACUACGUG